rnacentral:lncRNA from 13 species
AUGGCAAAGCAAAACCCACAGAAAUCCCACACAGGGAUAUUAAGAGUGGGUAUGGCAGCCUCAGCUCUCCCUCCUCGCCCAUCACAGAUGCCCCCACCGUGUCACCCAAGAGCCCCAAGCCCUCUCUCCCGCCUCUUUGUUCUGCACAGCCAGCGGCGCCGAUGCACCAGGGUGGGGUGCAGCCCCCUGUGCUGCCUCACGCUCUCCCCGCACAGGCACAGCCAGGUUGGAGCUUCCCUGCAGGAGCUGGGCUGCAUCCCUCGGGCUCGUUGGAGCCCUGACAGCCGUGACGAGCCCGGCGUGGCGCGGGCGAGGGGGCCCCCAUUGUCUGCCGGCGCAGCGGGGCCCUGCCACAAUGAGCCGUGCAUUGAACCACUGCUGCCAAACAGAUGGCGUCUGCAGGCUCAAGGUGAAGCAAAGGUCAGAGGCCAAGGAGAGCAGAGUGGGGGCAGAGCCCCUCUGCCCACCCACGGCGAGGGGGGGGCAGCCAGGCCACCCCGUGUCCCAGAUGACACAGCCACCACAGCGGGUGACACCACGGCUGGUGACACCACGGCUGUCCCCAAUCCACCCAGCACAUCCACAGCCGGCGCCCACCCCCGGCUCCCUGCCCACAACCCGGAGCAGGUGGAGGCAGCCAGGUGUGUCCAGCAGGGAUGUCAGGCAGCCAGACGCGCGCUGAAUGAGGAUGCUGGAGCCACCUGCCAUCGCCCAGUGGCAGGGCUGUGGCAGGGCUGUGGCAGGGCUGGGCCCUCCCGCGGAGCGCUGUGGGAACGCUCCGAGCCCCAUCCGCAGGGAUGCUCCGAGUCGGGGGUCGGCGCGGGGAUGGGGCAGGGCCCGGGGGGGAUGGGGUACAAGGGACAGGGCCCCACCCCGCCCAGGCUGAACCCCGCUCGGAGCCAGCCCCGUGCCCUCCGCAGCGCUACCCCGGUACCUGCGCGCUGCCUCUGCCCGACUCCCCGCCGCUGCCCGCCGCCGCCGCCACCUCAGGCGGGGCGGGCGGUUCCGGUGGUGGUGGUGGCGGCGGGGGAGGCCCGACGUCGGGACCCGCCACCCUGUCACGGGGCUCCCGCG